rnacentral:rRNA from 1 species
GACGAACGCUGGCGGCGUGCUUAACACAUGCAAGUCGAACGGAAAGGCCCUGCUUUUGUGGGGUGCUCGAGUGGCGAACGGGUGAGUAACACGUGAGUAACCUGCCCUUGACUUUGGGAUAACUUCAGGAAACUGGGGCUAAUACCGGAUAGGAGCUCCUGCUGCAUGGUGGGGGUUGGAAAGUUUCGGCGGUUGGGGAUGGACUCGCGGCUUAUCAGCUUGUUGGUGGGGUAGUGGCUUACCAAGGCUUUGACGGGUAGCCGGCCUGAGAGGGUGACCGGCCACAUUGGGACUGAGAUACGGCCCAGACUCCUACGGGAGGCAGCAGUGGGGAAUAUUGCACAAUGGGCGGAAGCCUGAUGCAGCAACGCCGCGUGCGGGAUGACGGUCUUCGGGUUGUAAACCGCUUUCGCCUGCGACGAAGCGUGAGUGACGGUAAUGGGUAAAGAAGCACCAGCUAACUACGUG